CCUACGGGAGGCAGCAGUGGGGAAUAUUGCACAAUGGGGGAAACCCUGAUGCAGCAACGCCGCGUGAGUGAUGACGGCCUUCGGGUUGUAAAGCUCUGUCUUCAGGGACGCUAAUGACGGUACCUGAGGAGGAAGCCACGGCUCACUACGUGCCAGCAGCCGCGGUCAGACGCCGGCGGCGAGCGUUGUCCGGAUUUUCUGGGCGUAAAGGGAGCGUAGGCGGGUUUUUAAGUGAGAUGUGAAAUCUUCGGGCUCAACUUGAGUGCUGCAUUGCAAACUGGAAGUCUAGAGUGCAGGAGAGGAGAAUGGAAGUCCUGGUGUAGCGGUGAAAUGCGUAGAGAUUAGGAAGAACACCAGUGGCGAAGGCGAUUCUCUGGACUGUAACUGACGCUGAGGCUCGAAAGCGUGGGGAGCAAACAGGAUUAGAUACCCCAGUAGUC
rnacentral:rRNA from 1 species